rnacentral:tRNA from 1 species
GGGCACAUAACGCAGCCAGGUAGCGUAACCGGCUCUUAACCGGUUAGUCGGGGGUUCAAAUCCCUCUGUGCUCG